rnacentral:lncRNA from 1 species
UCAAGGGAAAAGAAAGUAGGCAUUUUACUUAAAAGUAAGAAAAAAUUAAGUUAUCCAAAUGUGUUUAGGAACAAGGAAGAUACUUUUACUUAUUUUAAGACCAACAUUAUAUAGAGUUCAUAGAUCAAGAAAGAGCUGGCAGUUAUAUCAGGGAUAAUACAAGGCUAGGAAUUUGUAAGUUCUAUAGUAUUAUAGUGCAAUCAUCACAAGAAAUAAGUAAAACCUCGUGAGAGCAAGUUUAUUCCCAUAACAUACAAAUCGUUUAUAUUAUACAUUGCAGGCAGUACCGGUUGGAGAACUACUGGUAUUAUAUAGAGUUGCUUGUGAAUCGUUUAUCUGUCUCGUCCUAGAUUUAAAAGUAUCCACAGCUGUUCCUAUUUUUCAAUAAGGCACCGGCUAAUCAUGUUAUUUGAGGGGAGAAAAUGGGUUCAUGAAAACAUAUUACAUCUUGGUCCUUAAAAGGGAAGUUGCCGAUCUUUUAACUUAAAGUUUCCUAUAUGUUUGUUAGAUGGCAACUUUGUUUCUUUAGAAGCUAAUAGAGAAAUUUAAGAAUUGGCUAUGAAAUUUCCUGAGAGAUGAACUUUGCUUCUUUGAUUUGAUGAAUAAUUAAUAUGUUAAGUUGUUUAAUUAGCUUGAGCAUGUUUCAUUUGUUGAAACUUGUAUAGUUGGGUUUUUACUCUAAACAUUGAAAUGGAUUUGUGUCGAUUUUUGAAGUAAAUAUGUUCUAUAUGAAUUCUGUUAGCGAUCUAUGACUAUAAACUUGUCCUCAUUUUUUGGCUUGCCAUUUAUUUGAGUUCUUUUAAUGUUUAAUAAUUUAAUUAGAUGUAUAAUAUUGGUUAUUACAUUGCAUUAAAACAGAAUGCUGAAAUCUGUUUUCUUCAUAAUGAGAACAGGUAUAAUACUGGAGUGAAACUAGAGGAACAUGUUGAAGAUUGUUGUCAAAGAUUCCCUCACAAAAAAGUACCUAAGCUUGUGUCGAAGAUUGCUGUGAAGAAAAUUGAGGAGGCCGAUGGGGUUGAAAAACGCACUACUUAGUUUGUCAAUUAUUUAUUUAUUAUUUAUUUUUUGGGAAAAUGUAUUCGAUUUUUAGGUGUUUUAGAAUUUUGAAUCUGGAUUUUAUACAGAUAUUGUUACAUUUUAGAGUUCAAUUAAUAAUGAUUAUUGGAGUUAUUUGAUGUA